GGACGGCUCAGUAACACGUGGCUAACCUACCCUCGGGUGGGGGAUAACCUCGGGAAACUGAGGAUAAUACCCCAUAGGAGAAGAGGUCUGGAAUGAUCCUUCUCUGAAAACAUAUGUGCCCGAGGAUGGGGCUGCGUCUGAUUAGGUAGUUGGUGGGGUAACGGCCCACUAAGCCUACGAUCAGUACGGGCCUUGAGAGAGGCAGCCCGGAGAUGGGGACUGAGGCACGGCCCCAGGCCCUACGGGGCGCAGCAGGCGCGAAACCUCCGCAAUGCACGAAAGUGCGACGGGGGGACCCCAAGUGCUUACGCACUGCGUAGGCUUUUCUAAAGUGUAAAAAGCUUUAGGAAUAAGGGCUGGGCAAGUCCGGUGCCAGCAGCCGCGGUAACACCGGCGGCCCGAGUGGUGACCACUUUUAUUGGGCCUAAAGCGUCCGUAGCCGGUCCAGUAAGUCCCUGUUUAAAUCCUACGGCUUAACCGUAGGGCUGGCAGGGAUACUGCUGGACUUGGGACCGGGAGAGGGCGAGGGUACUUCAGGGGUAGCGGUGAAAUGUGUUGAUCCCUGGAGGACCACCUAUGGCGAAGGCACUCGCCUGGAAC
rnacentral:rRNA from 1 species